rnacentral:rRNA from 1 species
GACGAACGCUGGCGGCGUGCUUAACACAUGCAAGUCGAACGGAAAGGCCCUGCUUGCAGGGUACUCGAGUGGCGAACGGGUGAGUAACACGUGGGUGACCUGCCCUGCACUUCGGGAUAAGCCUGGGAAACUGGGUCUAAUACCGGAUAGGAGCCAUUUUUAGUGUGAUGGUUGGAAAGUUUUUUCGGUGUAGGAUGAGCUCGCGGCCUAUCAGCUUGUUGGUGGGGUAAUGGCCUACCAAGGCGGCGACGGGUAGCCGGCCUGAGAGGGUGGACGGCCACAUUGGGACUGAGAUACGGCCCAGACUCCGACGGGAGGCAGCAGGGGGGAAUAUUGCACAAGGGGCGCAAGCCGGAUGCAGCGACGCCGCGUGGGGGAUGACGGCCUUCGGGUUGUAAACUCCUUUCGCUAGGGACGAAGCUUUUUGUGACGGUACCUAGAUAAGAAGCACCGGCUAACUACGUG